GGGAAUCAGAGAUGGGUACCGCAGGUAGACAAUUCGACACUGGUCUGGACUCAGCCGGGGAGAGGAGACAGCCAAGGAGUCAUCUGAGAGGAGCUCUGGGCCAGAUGGAAAGGUCCACAUAGAACAGGGCUGACCUGGAACCACCAGAGAUAUACUUAGUUUCAAGGCCAGAUGGACAGCAGGACCCCUUACUCUGCCAAGUUCCUUACCUUCGAUUGGUGCAAAAGCGGAUGCCCAGCCGAAAGGGCUCGUGCCACCAGCCUACGAAUACCACACCCGUGUCUCCAGGGGCCCAGAAUGCCUGUAAACAAGACCACAGGACAGGCCCUGCAAACACCACUGAAUCUCCAUCAUGGAACACCAGGUACUGGCGGCAGAAUCGGAUGUUCUCCAUGCGUUCCAGGUCCCUCUGGGUCCACUCUGUGAGAGUGCAGAGCCCUCUCCCCUCCAUACACACACCGGUGUGCACCGUCCGGUAGAGGCCCCCGUACUGCGUGGUGACUUCCGGGCCCAGGCAGGCGGCGCUCAGCGCGGGCUG